UGCCUGGGACUUCAAAGGUAGGCGAGGAGGGAAUUCUACAAAGAGCCAGUGAGGAUCGUAACGUACGAUAGUCAUUACCGUAACCACCACGGACUUCCGCUGAGCGCCCGUCUCCGCGCAAGUACUGACCCUGGAACCCCAGUUGCCUGGGUCCACCUGUCGAACCAAACACAAGCCUCUUUUAGGUCUCUUCCACUCAUCUCAGCAGGACUUGGCUACCCAGAAACGUCACCUAACACCCACAGCUUCCCCCCAUCAUCUGUGACUACCUACUGUGUCCGUGAGACUGUCCAGUCUAUAGACUGCCGCUCAGAGAAGCCAACAGCACUGCUCCCAUCAAGACUGAAGCUGGGGAGGAGGGAGAGCAUCUAACUGAAGGUUUCACAUCCUCUGAGCCUGGAGAUAGCAGAGCUAAUAUCCUGGAUAAUCAAGUUUCCCAUUAAGAAAGCCACAGAUGAAGGGCAUCAAGUAUCAUUCAUUCAACAAUCAGCCAAAUUGGACUGAGCACAAACUCUACACCAAUGAAUCCUAAGAUGAAUCUUAGGAUUCAUCUAUAAAACAGCUUUGCUACUUGAAGUGUGGUUCUCAGACAAGCAGCAUCAGCAUCACCUGGAAGCUUAUUAAAAACUACAGACUCUCAGACCCCCUCCUAGACCCACUGACUCAGAAGACGCAUUUUGACAAGUUCCCUAGGUAGCUCAUAUGCACACUGAAGCUUCAGAAGCUUUCUAAAAACGGAUACCGUCCCUGACAUCAGAGUACUGUCCAUCCGUGAAAAGGAAGAGGAGAAAGUAAUUAACCCUGGCAGGGAAAAUCAGGAAAGACUUUACAGCUGAAAAGUUUUGUUUUUUAAUUUGGAUCUUGAAGGAUAAAUCAAAGUUUACCAGAUGGAAAAAUAAAUGCAGGCAACUUUGAUAAAGAAGCUAGAGUGUAAAAUGACACAGCCAUGAAGGACUGUGAUCUUUUCCUGUGGGGUUGCAAAGACAGUCUGUGGGCUGACUGUGAGGGCAGAACCAGAAAAUAUCUUCAAAUUUACGUACACAAGGAGCUUGGAUCCAGACCCCAAAUUCGGAACACUUUGCAACCUGCUCUCCUGCACACCAGACCCUAAGCUUGGAACAGGAGCCUUAUCCUGUUCAUGAAAUUGAACGGGCGGCCUCCAACGAUAGGUGUCACCAUUUUCAUGGGGCUUAUGGUAAAUACCACUGAAGAUAUCCAACCCUAAGCCCUGAAUCAAGAGCCUCUGAGUACCCUGGAGGAGGAGGAGAGACUGCUCACUUGCCUAACACCCUGGGUUCCCUUAAAAUCAUGGGAAAGUUCACCUCAGCUGGGGCAGGGGUGGUGCAAAGUAGGAUGAUGCUGAGCUUACCGGGUAAGGCAGCAACUAUACCUAUCUGGGGGGUUAAGAGACAGCAAAUGAAAAUGGAUCCCUCAAAACCUGGCAUCAUCCACAAAAGGUAAAAACAGAUGGAUACAUGAUGAAGGCUGUUUUUUUAGUAUCAAAAUAAUUUAAAACUGUCAUGGUAUUUUAAAAUUGUACUCCACAAAUGCUUAAAAAUGAAACAAUAUUUGAGGUUGCAGGGCAGCUCCCAGGACGAGGGACUUUCUCACAGGGCACAAGCAUUGUGUUUGCUCAUCUUCCCACCAAUUCUACAAAGCAUUUUCCGCUGUCAGUCACAUUUUCUAGAAGAAAUCAAAUUGGAGAAUCCAACCAUAUUUAAGUGAAACUGCAUUCUAAUGCUGGACCCAUCACUUAUUACCUGACACCACACUCCCUCUAGAAAACAUACCCCUCCCAUUCCUGAGUCUCCCCAGUGGUUAACCCCAAACAUAUCAAGUUUGCAGUUGAUGGCACACACCCUGUGGCUUUGCAUAUUGUAUUAAACAGCAUUACCCAUGCCCUCCAGUGUCUAUCAUGGAAGCUGAUCCUCCUACAUACUCCAGCCUGGGUAACACCAUGCUUUACCGUACACUUCCAAUACUACCAACUUACCAACACUACCAAGUGUACCAAGCCAUAAAGCAUUGCCAAUAAGGCAUAGUGUACGUUAUAACUGGUAAGUUUAAGUGCAUGGUACACCAGCUACACCAUACACUUUGCCUUACUGGAAAUGUUGUAAUGGCUUGUGGCUAAAUUUAGCUGGCUAAAUAAAUAAGCAUUUUAUCAUGCUGCCACUGAAGGUGACAAACCUUCCCCAUCCCCUCCUUGUGUCUAUGUAUAGGCUAAUCUCCUCAUGAAAGAAUUUGUGAUUUAAAAUUUCAUUUUGCCUUCACCUACAAUAUACUAUUUCCAGAAGAGCUCUGGGAAUACAAAAUGGAAAGGCAAGAACCAUCUUGACAAUUCCCUCUCCAGCCAGCAAAGCCGUCCCUGGGAAGAUCGUACCCUCCAGCACUCAUCAAAAGUAAUUACCCUGGAGAGGGAACGCGGUUUGGAAAAAUAAGACCAUUUCCAUUAUUACUUUCUUGUAUUAAAUAAUAAAUAUUUAACACGAUAAAGUUAAAGCAAUCAAGAUGACAAAUGACAAAGAAAAAGGGUAUGAGGUACAAAAAUACUACUUGCUCUCCAGAGAGUUGUUCCCAAGCAAAAUAAACAAUAAAAUACUUUCAUUGUUUUUUUAGCAUUUUCUUCUAGCUUUAUUUGAGAAUUAAAUU
ensembl:lincRNA